GUUGUGUUUUUUUUUAUCAGCAGCUCUGAACAGGCUAAAGUGAGGAUUCUCUCAGCUGUCUCUUGAGACCUUGUGUUCUCUGUCUGGGAACAAAUGAGGAUCCUGCAGAGAGGGAUGUGGAAAGAGAGACUCCUAUGUGCAUGCACACCCCAGUGAACCCCAGAUCAGUUCCUCUCUGAGCAUGUCUAUGUACAUUUGGAGCAGGUACCCACUUCAAAUGAAUCCCCUUACAAAUGAACCUGGAUUUAGGAGAGCUCUGUGGUCUUGAGAUGUUCAGACAGUAUGAGACUUUGACUCCCGAUGAUAACAGACCUGCACCGCGGAAGCGGAAAGCUAGGAAGAUCCCCUUUCAGUGGCUGAAUAUCAUUUUAUUCUUAUUGGCAUAAUGCAGAGGGCCCAUCUGAGCUCUGGACACCACAGUACAAAGCACUGUACAUUUGAGGAAUGAGAGACAGUGCCUGCUUGAAGAUCUGACAGUCUGAAUAGCCAAAGGCAGUCGCCUCGGGGCCCAUUGCAGAUUGGGAACUGAGGCACAGUGAGUGACCAUCCCACAUGAACGUGCAGGGGUCCAGACGUGGGUCUCCACUGCCUGUCUGUACUGUGUGUGCUUUUGAUUCAUGACAGCUGUUUAGAAACCGGGGACUGUUUGACUUUGACCUCCUGGCUCUGAAGCGGGGAAGGAGAAAGGGAUGCAAAUUCCUAAGAAGCCCAACUUGGUCCAUUAAGCCUUGUGUCUGAGCUGUAAAAAUCCUGUGCAAAUUUUCUCUGUGUGUGCUUGCAGCUGUAGCUGUCUGCCAGUUCUUACAGCAGCCUCAGCUCUGGAAUAGAAAAUGCCCUUGCUGGGGGAAGUGUUCACACUGAGUGAGGAAUGAAAUAAACCUUUCUUCCAGCCAGGAGAGCUGAGCUCCCUUUGGCUGGCUGGUGGCCAGUCCAGCGAUGGGGUGAGGAGGCCAGUUCCACUGAUCUGGGCAACUUUACCCCUGUGCAACAGCAGACUUGUGCUUACAGAAGACCUGGGUGCUGUGCUGUGCCCCAAGGUGAAUCUCUGUACAUUUGUGGCAGAUUCAGUGCUACUGGCAUAUGUCAUGCCUCCCAAGGUGUGCAGGGGGACCCAUCAAUGCCAAGGCUAAAGCAUGUUGCUUUUUAACUCUCCAACAUCUA